AUUUUCAGUAGAACAAUUAUUUAGUGAUCAGGAUAACUAGUUACCACAACUGUAUAUAUGCUGUAGCUGGAGAUUUAACAUUACACAACAGACAAAUCAUGUAUUGUUAGAUGACAUCUGCAUGAAGCUGAAUUCUGUGUGUGAAUGAUGUUUGAACUGAGCCAUGAGAUGUAAUUCUGAUGAUGUUUGUCUGCCACCAUGAUCAGGACUCCGAGAAGCAACAGUUACGAAGACUACUGGAAGGAGUUCAAGGACAUCGCCAGCAGUACCGACGGAGAAAAUGAAGAGGAGGAGAUCACCAAAACCCCCGAUGAGGGAGAGGAAGAAAUCAGCUGGCUGAAGGAGGCUGGAUACGACUUUGUUGUGAACUACAUCACAGGUGGGAGGGAGUUGACAGAUGAGGAGAUCCAGGGUUUUACAGCGACAUUAACCACAAGUCAGGCGGCGGUGGUCCGCCGCAGGGUCAACACUCUUAGCGCCACAAUCCGGUCCAAACAAAAACACAAGGUUGACGUCAGAGAUAUCUUCCCACAGCCUCCAGACAACCAGUCACCUAGAUCACCGGUCCCACAAACUACGUCAGAUGGCAUCGACGACAUCAACCUCUCGGCAGUGCCUCGGCGACACACAGAUAAACGCCUGCCAUCCCUGUACAGGGGUAGGGGAGAGUACUCUAUGUCCGGGCGGGGGAACGAGGUCUUCAAGGACCCAGAAGAAUCGGGUAUUGAGACACUGAGUGUCCAGCAGACGGGGACAUUCAACAAGCACAUGGUGCCUGACCCCCCAGACGACAUGAGACGGUCAGUUAUGACAGCUAUGCCUAGUAUAUCAGACGAGGAUAUUGAACUGUGCAUAGAAGAAACUGCACCAAAGAAUUCUAUGCAGAAUGCUGGAUUAGAGAAAGAAGAUAACUUACCAAAUUUCAAUAUAGUACCAGACAGGUUGGGUGUAACUAUGGUAACUGAUUUGAGUUUAGAGGACAUGAAACAAAUCAAAUCCCUAGCCCUUAUAGAACUGACAGCUCUAUUUGAGAGACAUCACAUUAUCUAUCAUCGAAGGAAGGGC
rnacentral:misc_RNA from 1 species